UACGUAGGGGGCGAGCGUUGUCCGGAAUCACUGGGCGUAAAGGGCGCGUAGGCGGUUUAAUAAGUCAGUGGUGAAAACUGAGGGCUCGACCCUCAGCCUGCCACUGAUACUGUUAGACUUGAGUAUGGAAGAGGAGAAUGGAAUUCCUAGUGUAGCGGUGAAAUGCGUAGAUAUUAGGAGGAACACCAGUGGCGAAGGCGAUUCUCUGGGCCAAGACUGACGCUGAGGCGCGAAAGCGUGGGGAGCAAACAGG
rnacentral:rRNA from 1 species